rnacentral:rRNA from 1 species
UCGUGACUGCGUGCCUUUUGAAGAAUGAGCCUGCGAGUUUGCGGUGUGUUGCGAGGUUAACCCGGGUGGGGUAGCCGUAGCGAAAGCGAGUCCGAAUAGGGCGUUUCAGUAGCACGCUCAAGACCCGAAGCGGAGUGAUCUAGCCAUGGGCAGGUUGAAGCGGAGGUAAGACUUCGUGGAGGACCGAACCCACCAGGGUUGAAAACCUGGGGGAUGACCUGUGGUUAGGGGUGAAAGGCCAAUCAAACUCCGUGAUAGCUGGUUCUCCCCGAAAUGCAUUUAGGUGCAGCGUCGUGUGUUUCUUGCCGGAGGUAGAGCACUGGAUAGGCGAUGGGCCCUACCGGGUUACUGACCUUAGCCAAACUCCGAAUGCCGGUAAGUGAGAGCGCGGCAGUGAGACUGUGGGGGAUAAGCUCCAUGGUCGAGAGGGAAACAGCCCAGAGCAUCGACUAAGGCCCCUAAGCGUACGCUAAGUGGGAAAGGAUGUGGAGUCGCAGAGACAACCAGGAGGUUGGCUUAGAAGCAGCCACCCUUGAAAGAGUGCGUAAUAGCUCACUGGUCUAGUGAUUCCGCGCCGACAAUGUAGCGGGGCUCAAGCGUACCGCCGAAGUCGUGUCAUUGCAGCAAGAGGGCCAACGCCCGCUGUGAUGGGUAGGGGAGCGUCGUGUGCCGGGUGAAGCUGCGCCGGAAGGCAGUGGUGGACGGUUCACGAGUGAGAAUGCAGGCAUGAGUAGCGAUACACACGUGGGAAACGUGUGCGCCGAUUGACUAAGGGUUCCUGGGUCAAGCUGAUCUGCCCAGGGUAAGUCGGGACCUAAGGCGAGGCCGACAGGCGUAGUCGAUGGAUAACCGGUUGAUAUUCCGGUACCCGCUGUGAAGCGUCAAACAUCGAACCAGGCGAUGCUAAGUCCGUGAAGCCGCCCCGGAGCCUUCGGGCAAAGGGGAGUGGUGGAGCCGACGAACCAGACUUGCAGUAGGUGAGUGAUGGGGUGACGCAGGAAGGUAGUCCAUCCCGGGCGGUGGUUGUCCCGGGGUAAGGGUGUAGG